UACGGGAGGCAGCAGUGGGGAAUAUUGCACAAUGGGCGAAAGCCUGAUGCAGCUAUGCCGCGUGUAUGAAGAAGGCCUUAGGGUUGUAAAGUACUUUCAUCGGGGAGGAAAAACAAAACUAAUAAUUUUAUUUCUUGACGUUACCCGAAAAAGAAGCACCGGCUAACUCCGUGCCAGCAGCCGCGGUAAUACGGAGGGUGCUAGCGUUAAUCAGAAUUACUGGGCGUAAAGAGCACGUAGGUGGUUUUUUUAAGUCAGAUGUGAAAUCCCCUGGGCUUAACCUGGAACUGCAUUUUGAAACUGAAAUACUAGAGUAUCGUAGAGGGAGGUAGAAUUCUAGGUGUAGCGGUGAAAUGCGUAGAUAUCUGGAGGAAUACCUGUGGCGAAAGCGGCCUCCUAAACGAAUACUGACACUGAGGUGCGAAAGCGUGGGAGGCAAACAGGAUUAGAUA
rnacentral:rRNA from 1 species